rnacentral:rRNA from 1 species
UACGGAGGGUGCGAGCGUUGUCCGGAAUCAUUGGGCGUAAAGGGCGCGUAGGCGGCCCGGUCAGUUCGUGGUGAAAGCGCGGGGCUCAACCCUGCGUCGGCCAUGAAUACUGCCGCGGCUGGAGCACUGUAGAGGCAGGCGGAAUUCCGGGUGUAGCGGUGGAAUGCGUAGAGAUCCGGAAGAACACCGGUGGCGAAGGCGGCCUGCUGGGCAGUUGCUGACACUGAGGCGCGACAGCGUGGGGAGCAAACAGG